CAGUAGGGAUCUUCCGCAUGGACGAAAGUCUGACGGAGCAACGCCGCGUGAGUGAUGAAGGUUUUCGGAUCGUAAAACUCUGUUAUUAGGGAAGAACAAAUGCGUAAGUAACUGUGCGCAUCUUGACGGUACCUAAUCAGAAAGCCACGGCUAACUACGUGCCAGCAGCCGCGGUAAUACGUAGGUGGCAAGCGUUAUCCGGAAUUAUUGGGCGUAAAGCGCGCGUAGGCGGUUUCUUAAGUCUGAUGUGAAAGCCCACGGCUCAACCGUGGAGGGUCAUUGGAAACUGGGAAACUUGAGUACAGAAGAGGAAAGUGGAAUUCCAUGUGUAGCGGUGAAAUGCGCAGAGAUAUGGAGGAACACCAGUGGCGAAGGCGACUUUCUGGUCUGUAACUGACGCUGAUGUGCGAAAGCGUGGGGAUCAAACAGGAUUAGAUACCCUGGUAGUCCACGCCGUAAACGAUGAGUGCUAAGUGUUAGGGGGUUUCCGCCCCUUAGUGCUGCAGCUAACGCAUUAAGCACUCCGCCUGGGGAGUACGACCGCAAGGUUGAAACUCAAAGGAAUUGACGGGGCCCCC
rnacentral:rRNA from 1 species